GGAGAGGUGGCAGAGUGGUUUAAUGCAUCGGCCUUGAAAGCCGACGACGGGGCGACUCGUCCGAGAGUUCGAAUCUCUCCCUCUCCGCCA
rnacentral:tRNA from 2 species